UCUCAGUCAAAACGCAUUUAGAGUUUAUUCCAUGUGAGCAUGGUAUAAACUAAAUGUUAUGCAACAGUUGCAAUGCGAUUUAAUGUAAAGAAAGGUAUAUACCUUAUGGAUUUAAUGUAAAGAAAGGCGUAUACAUUCUGUACCUUAUAGAUUUAAUGUAAAGAAGGGUAUAUACCUUGUAGAUUUAAAUAUGUUUUAUACAAAUCUAUGAUGUAACAAAAGUGAUUUUUGUAAUAAAGAAAUUAAAUCCAAUUAAAACAAAUCUAUUAAAUUGAAUAAAUGUAAAUAAUUGGAAAUCACAACACAAACAAUCAAGGACUAUUUCAAUUAAAUAUCUAACCAACAAAGACUACAGUUUUGUCAAGUAUGGACCACCCAGUGAUUUUAAAUAAAACACAACUAUACAAUAACUGCAUUUUCUCCAGCACCACACCAUGUACAUGUUAUAAUUUCUAUAUUCCUCCCAUAGAAUAUAUAUUUUACUGGUUAUUUUAUAAUUUCUUUAUUCCUCCCAUAGAAUAUAUAUUUUACUGGUUAUUUUAUAAUUUCUUUAUUCCUCCCAUAGAAUAUAUAUUUUACUCGAAUAACCUUAAGUAUAUAAACUAUUCUUGCAUAUUUAUAUCUGAUACAUAAUUAUCUAUAUAAAAA